rnacentral:rRNA from 1 species
ACGCUCGACACCUACGGGCAGCAGUGGGGAAUAUUGCACAAUGGGGGAAACCCUGAUGCAGCGACGCCGCGUGGAGGAAGAAGGUCUUCGGAUUGUAAACUCCUGUUGUUGGGGAAAAAGGGGAUGGUACCCAACAAGGAAGUGACGGCUAACUACGUGCCGNAGCGCGUAUNUGAGCGGCGUGNGAGC